AGUGAACGCUGGCGGUAGGCCUAACACAUGCAAGUCGAACGGCAGCACAGUAAGAGCUUGCUCUUACGGGUGGCGAGUGGCGGACGGGUGAGGAAUACAUCGGAAUCUACUUUUUCGUGGGGGAUAACGUAGGGAAACUUACGCUAAUACCGCAUACGACCUACGGGUGAAAGCAGGGGAUCUUCGGACCUUGCGCGAUUGAAUGAGCCGAUGUCGGAUUAGCUAGUUGGCGGGGUAAAGGCCCACCAAGGCGACGAUCCGUAGCUGGUCUGAGAGGAUGAUCCGCCACAAUGGAACUGAGACACGGUCCAGAAUCCUACGGGAGGCAGCAGUGGGGAAUAUUGGAAAAUGGGCGCAAGCCUGAUCCAGCCAUACCGCGUGGGUGAAGAAGGCCUUCGGGUUGUAAAGCCCUUUUGUUGGGAAAGAAAAGCAGCAGGUUAAUACCCCGCUGUUCUGACGGUACCCAAAGAAUAAGCACCGGCUAACUUCGUG
rnacentral:rRNA from 1 species